rnacentral:rRNA from 1 species
UACGGAGGGUGCAAGCGUUAAUCGGAAUUACUGGGCGUAAAGGGCGCGUAGGUGGUAUGAUAAGUUGGCUGUGAAAACCCUGUGCUUAACGUGGGGCGGUCAGUCAAUACUAUGGUACUAGAGGUUAUGAGAGGGUAGUGGAAUUUCAGGUGUAGCGGUGAAAUGCGUAGAGAUCUGAAGGAACACCAGUGGCGAAGGCGACUACCUGGCAUGAACCUGACACUGAGGCGCGAAAGCGUGGGGAGCAAACAGG